rnacentral:miRNA from 1 species
UAUCAUUUUACAACUUGAUUAGGCAGGUAUCUGGUUACAUGUCUACAUUUGGAAAACAAGUGUAGACAUGUAACCAGAUACCUGCUUAAUCAAGUUGUAAAAUG